rnacentral:rRNA from 1 species
GACGAACGCUGGCGGCAUGCUUAACACAUGCAAGUCGAACGAGAAUCUGUGGAUCGAGGAUUCGUCCAAGAGAAGCAGAGGACAGUGGCGGACGGGUGAGUAACGCGUGAGGAACCUGCCUUUCAGAGGGGGGACAACAGUUGGAAACGACUGCUAAUACCGCAUAACGCGUAGAGGUCGCAUGGCCUUUACGCCAAAGAUUUAUCGCUGAAAGAUGGCCUCGCGUCUGAUUAGCUAGUUGGUGAGGUAACGGCCCACCAAGGCGACGAUCAGUAGCCGGACUGAGAGGUUGAACGGCCACAUUGGGACUGAGAUACGGCCCAGACUCCUACGGGAGGCAGCAGUGGGGAAUAUUGGGCAAUGGCGCAAGCCUGACCCAGCAAUGCCGCGUGAAGGAAGAAGGCUUUCGGGUUGUAAACUCUUUUGUCAGGGACGAGUAGAAGACGGUACCUGACGAAUAAGCCACGGCUAACUACGUG